AAGUCGUAACAAGGUUUCCGUAGGUGAACCUGCGGAAGGAUCAUUAACGGGUUAGGGUCUUCUCAGGCCCGACCUCCCAACCCUUUGUUUACUGAACCUCUGUUGCUUCGGCGGGCCCGUCUCACGACCGCCGGAGGACCGCCGACAGGUGUCCUCUGGCCCGUGUCCGCCGACAGCCAAGCUCUCAAAACUCUGUAUGAAUCGUGUCCUUUAUCUCUAAGUCUAUGAUUUAAACAAAUCAAAAAGCAAAACUUUCAACAACGGAUCUCUUGGUUCUG
rnacentral:misc_RNA from 1 species